UACGGGGGGGGCAAGCGUUGUUCGGAAUUACUGGGCGUAAAGGGCGCGUAGGCGGGGAGGCAAGUCGGAGGUGAAAGCCCACGGCUCAACCGUGGAAGAGCCCCCGAUACUGCCUGUCUUGAGGGAGGUAGGGGCGUGCGGAACUUCCGGUGGAGCGGUGAAAUGCGUAGAUAUCGGAAGGAACACCGGUGGCGAAAGCGGCGCGCUGGACCUCUACUGACGCUGAGGCGCGAAAGCCAGGGGAGCAAACGGG
rnacentral:rRNA from 1 species